AUACUACUCCCUCCGUCUCAAAAUAAGUGACUCAAAACUUACUCAACUUUGUACUAACAUUAGUACAAAGUUGAGUCAUUUUUGAGUCACUUAUUUUGGGACGGAGGGAGUAGUAU
rnacentral:pre_miRNA from 1 species